GGUCACCUCAGAUACACACAAUCACUCCCCAGAAGGAAGACACAAAUUGCCCUGGAAUAGAAGAUCGAGAAUACUUGGCUUGGAGCAACAAGACAAUCAGGCACAAUAAAGUCCAAGUUUAAAAACAGCAAAAAGCAGCCGGCCUCAUACCAGCUAUCUGCCCAUAUAAGGACAUCCUGCCUGCUCACUGUCAUCUUAUAUAUAAAAAGGGAUAUUUCAUCUUGAUGUAAAGAUGUGACAUUUCAUUCCUUUUUUACCUAAAUCUGACACACUGUCGGAGUCACCCUUCACAUUUGUGACACUCAGAUAUCCUCACGCUUGCUCAGCUGGGAAAUUGGAGAUUAGAUAUGACAAAUUCUUGCAUUUAAAGUUCUUGCUUGUGAAGAUUUAUAAGGACUUCAGAUAGUUUGGUGCUUGUAUAAUAUCAUCAACAUUUAUAAUAUACUUCUCAUACCAGGGUUUCUUCAACUUUUUUCACCAAGUACCACCAUGAUGUAGUGUAGUAGACCUAAAUAUUCAUUAAGUACCACCAUGAUGACAACAUUUAAAUACAGUA